CAAUAGCGUAUAUUAAAGUUGUUGCAGUUAAAAAGCUCGUAGUUGGAUUUCUGGUUUGAUGCCCUGGCCCGCUGCUAUUUUAGUAGUGUGUGCCGGUUGUGCGUCUGCCAUCCUUCUAGGGAACGUUCCUUCUCUUCACUGAGCCGGGUUCGUGAUCUAGAUCGUUUACUUUGAAAAAUUAGAGUGUUUAAAGCAGGCUUUUGCUAUGAAUACAUUAGCAUGGAAUAAUAAGAUAGGACCUUGGUGGUUUAUUUUGUUGGUUUGCACGCCGAGGUAAUGAUUAAUAGGGAUAGUUGGGGGUAUUCGUAUUCAAUUGUCAGAGGUGAAAUUCUUGGAUUUAUGGAAGACGAACUACUGCGAAAGCAUUUACCAGGGAUGUUUUCACUGAUCAAGAACGAAAGUUAGGGGAUCGAAGACGAUCAGAUACCGU
rnacentral:rRNA from 1 species